rnacentral:misc_RNA from 1 species
UUAUCACUAAUCAAGCCCGGCUUGCUGUUGGACCUCUUGUCGUUAAAAGACAGGCCCCAAAGAUAAUGACGGCGUCAAUUGGACCCUAGAUGCAACGAGCUUUCAUUAGCACGCAUUUUAGUUAAGCCUUUUGACCCGGUCUUUUUUAACCAAUUUCUAAGGUUGACCUCGGAUCAGGUAGGAAUACCCGCUGAACUUAA